GUUGAAUAAUUUAUUUCUUACUGUUUGCCUAUUUUCAACAAUUUUUCCCAAAUGUUUUGUGUUUUGCAUGUAGAGAUUAUUUUUCCAUCAAAUAAAACUUUUUGAUUGUUGACUCAUACUGUAUUUUUCCAAUCCAAUUAUUAUUGAUUGUUGAUUCAUACUGUAUUUUUCCAAUCCAAUUAUUAUUUGAUAUGUACUUGAAAUGAAGCCAAAUUUGUGACACAGUUACCAAUCCUGUUUCCAGCUUCCAAUCCUGUCAUGGGAACUGAUUUAAUAUUUUUAUUGCAUGUUUGUACAAAUGCUGAUUAUCAAAAUCAGUGUUAGGAAUCUCACAUUGAACUGUAUGUAUAGAAUGACGUGUUUUUCAGCGACUGACAUUGUUUGUAUAUACCUGUAGUCAUGGUGAUGGCUCUGACCCUGUGUAAGGAGAACGAAAUGCAAACUGACUAAAUAUUCUGUGGUUUUGGUUAAAUCAUAUUUGAAUUUUGAUUCAGUUCAGCUAUACUUAUCCUUGUAAAACAUAAUAUUUUGUCAGCUUGCAUUUAGAAUGAUCAAAUGAGUCUGUCCACAUUUGUUGGAAUUUGUUGUUGAUUGUUAUGUAUUAAAAUUGUUGAUACUC
rnacentral:misc_RNA from 1 species